rnacentral:rRNA from 1 species
CAUCCCGGUAUCUAACUCUGUAGUACGCUGGACGUCGAGGUAGGCAAAGUACAAUAGAAGAAGGAGAACGAAGGAGAGAACAAAACACAGAAGGACAUUGUCAACAUUGAGUUUACUUUGGUUUGUCAACAUUGACAAGUCGUCGAGGGUUUGGAAAAAGGCUAGAAGGACAUUCUUCUUGUCUCGGUACCUGAGGUGCCUAGUCAAACUGUUGUCGGGAGACGAUCUGCCUCUGCCGAGUAGUGCUCUCUUAUGUUGUCUUAUAUGUCCACUACCUAGACAAACGUAGUCACCCGUAGGACGAAGGUCUUUUGUAUGUCCCUUAACCUUCCGGAGGAAGAAUUAGUAUCAGACAAGUGAGACGACAAUAGAACGUAUAAGAGGGUAACCUUUUUUGGAACAGUCGAUAGAGUGUUUUCAGGAUGUACUUUGUUUAAACCUACGACGUUCUGUACAACGUUGAACCGUUCCCUUACUAUUACAACGAAGAUAGUCGUCGUGAAGUUAAUUAGAGUCGGCCAGGAGUGCGAACCUGACAAACCCAUGUAGAUCAGAGAAGAGUCAUGUGGUAUAAGAACCAACCCAACAUGUACCACCCAAAUCCCAUACCACGUGUCGCGGGAACACAGUGCAGAAAACCUCGGCUAGUUAAACUACUGUGGCUAAUACACCUCUUUUGGUUUUUCUCGAGGAAGAAGUUAACCGUAAUAAAACGUUAGUUACAACCAAGUAACUAACGACCCUGACAAUAACAGACCCAAGUUCUUGUACUUCCGACCGAGACCCCAAAAUGUUAAAGUUGUGACCAACACUGAAAUCCACAUACAUAAAAAAAGAAUCCGAGGUAGUACAUAUCUAAAGUCUUCGGACCUCCUUCGGGAGACUGUUCUGAUACGGUCCAACAGUAACGUCGAUGAGCCUUGAAACUAUUUCAAAACGGUACACUAAGGAGUCGAGAAAUACUCAAAUACCCCGUUCCGAGCCGUUUGCUUCCGUCGGCCUUUAACCUCGUAUGUUGACCUGAACUCAAGAAACUAUUUCGAUGUUAACAUUGUAAUGGACUGACACUUAGAGGACCGGUUGUAUUAUUUACCUUCUAAACGUGACAGUGAGUCCAUCUCCUCAAUUUCUAAGACUAGUCCUACAAAGGUUAAACCAGCCGUUACCAUAACAAACGACGUCAAGUCCUUGUCUACAGAAGUUGUAAACAUCUCGUUCCCUACCGUUACCUAUUUGUGUAGCCCAGAAAGCUUUAUGGACGACGUAGGAAGGUCACACAUCUAUGUUAAUGACAGUAACAUGACCAAGGUUAAAUACCCUUUGAGUAACAAGGUCAUUAAUCUUUUAAAUGACCGUCUCGCUUACCGUAAUGCAGUGGUGUCGCUUAUCCCUAACCAAAUACAAAGAGCUACAAGAGUUACCACAGUCGUCGUAACCACCUCCCAUUGGCCGAUGUCUAACGUGUCCGGCUUCCAAACCACGUGGCGUUCCACCGACAAGGCUACUCGUAGCACACCGUUCCUGGGGUCAUGAAGGACGAUCCGCAGCGGAACCACAAGAGGUUAUAACCCGAUUGACUCCAAAAGAUACUACUUAGAGGUCUACCGUACGUUUCGAAUACAUACCGUAAGAGCGAACAAUUGUACAGCCAACCUUUAAUGGAAUCAAGUAAAUAGGAAAGGGAACACGGUCAUAAGUGUCGGUCUCCUCCGUCGGGUCCCACCUAUGGACUAUUGAACUUACUUCCCGUAAACCUAUCUAAGAUGGACUACUACCGACCCGACUCAAAAAACUUAUAUCAUCAGAAACAUAAUACACGAUACUCCAUGUUUACAUUCUUCCGAAAGACUAGGAGUAACUGGAGACGUUAUACCACUUCGCACACAUCUUUAACAUGACACCACUAUAUAUGGGACGCCGUAACGUUAAUGAACAGCACUACGAUACUUUGAACGAUACCAUCUAGCAAUAGUGUACACUAGCACCUUAGCCUAAAAGGCAGGUAAACGUGUUAUACCUGCGAUCCUUUGUUGUCCAGACAGCUUCCGGUUCAAACAUCUCUCUACCUGAGAAUAGAGAGGAGGAGACUCCCUAAAAUAGAUCAGAAACACGCAGCCCUCCGGUUAAAACACCGAGUGGUUACACGAUCCGUAGGGACUAAAGGGCUAACUG